rnacentral:rRNA from 1 species
UACGAAGGGUGCAAGCGUUAAUCGGAAUUACUGGGCGUAAAGCGUGCGUAGGCGGUGACUUAAGUCUGUUGUGAAAUCCCCGGGCUCAACCUGGGAAUGGCAAUGGAUACUGGGUCGCUAGAGUGUGAUAGAGGAUGGUGGAAUUCCCGGUCUAGCGGUGAAAUGCGUAGAGAUCGGGAGGAACAUCAGUGGCGAAGGCGGCCAUCUGGAUCAACACUGACGCUGAGGCACGAAAGCGUGGGGAGCAAACAGG